rnacentral:rRNA from 1 species
AGAGUUUGAUCAUGGCUCAGAUUGAACGCUGGCGGCAGGCCUAACACAUGCAAGUCGAACGGUAACAGGAAGAAGCUUGCUUCUUUGCUGACGAGUGGCGGACGGGUGAGUAAUGUCUGGGAAACUGCCUGAUGGAGGGGGAUAACUACUGGAAACGGUAGCUAAUACCGCAUAACGUCGCAAGACCAAAGAGGGGGACCUUCGGGCCUCUUGCCAUCGGAUGUGCCCAGAUGGGAUUAGCUUGUUGGUGGGGUAACGGCUCACCAAGGCGACGAUCCCUAGCUGGUCUGAGAGGAUGACCAGCCACACUGGAACUGAGACACGGUCCAGACUCCUACGGGAGCAGCAGUGGGGAAUAUUGCACAAUGGGCGCAAGCCUGAUGCAGCCAUGCCGCGUGUAUGAAGAAGGCCUUCGGGUUGUAAAGUACUUUCUAGCGGGGAGGAAGGGAGGUAAAGUUAAUACCUUUGCUCAUUGACGUUACCCGCAGAAGAAGCACCGGCUAACUCCGUGCCAGCAGCCGCGGUAAUACGGAGGGUGCAAGCGUUAAUCGGAAUUACUGGGCGUAAAGCGCACGCAGGCGGUUUGUUAAGUCAGAUGUGAAAUCCCCGGGCUCAACCUGGGAACUGCAUCUGAUACUGGCAAGCUUGAGUCUCGUAGAGGGGGGUAGAAUUCCAGGUGUAGCGGUGAAAUGCGUAGAGAUCUGGAGGAAUACCGGUGGCGAAGGCGGCCCCCUGGACGAAGACUGACGCUCAGGUGCGAAAGCGUGGGGAGCAAACAGGAUUAGAUACCCUGGUAGUCCACGCCGUAAACGAUGUCGACUUGGAGGUUGUGCCCUUGAGGCGUGGCUUCCGGAGCUAACGCGUUAAGUCGACCGCCUGGGGAGUACGGCCGCAAGGUUAAAACUCAAAUGAAUUGACGGGGGCCCGCACAAGCGGUGGAGCAUGUGGUUUAAUUCGAUGCAACGCGAAGAACCUUACCUGGUCUUGACAUCCACAGAACUUUCCAGAGAUGGAUUGGUGCCUUCGGGAACUGUGAGACAGGUGCUGCAUGGCUGUCGUCAGCUCGUGUUGUGAAAUGUUGGGUUAAGUCCCGCAACGAGCGCAACCCUUAUCCUUUGUUGCCAGCGGUCCGGCCGGGAACUCAAAGGAGACUGCCAGUGAUAAACUGGAGGAAGGUGGGGAUGACGUCAAGUCAUCAUGGCCCUUACGACCAGGGCUACACACGUGCUACAAUGGCGCAUACAAAGAGAAGCGACCUCGCGAGAGCAAGCGGACCUCAUAAAGUGCGUCGUAGUCCGGAUUGGAGUCUGCAACUCGACUCCAUGAAGUCGGAAUCGCUAGUAAUCGUGGAUCAGAAUGCCACGGUGAAUACGUUCCCGGGCCUUGUACACACCGCCCGUCACACCAUGGGAGUGGGUUGCAAAAGAAGUAGGUAGCUUAACCUUCGGGAGGGCGCUUACCACUUUGUGAUUCAUGACUGGGGUGAAGUCGUAACAAGGUAACCGUAGGGGAACCUGCGGUUG